AUCCACAUAUGAUAAAACUCU
rnacentral:miRNA from 1 species